rnacentral:rRNA from 1 species
UACGAAGGGGGCUAGCGUUGUUCGGAAUCCCUGGGCGUAAAGCGCACGUAGGCGGAUCUUUAAGUCAGGGGUGAAAUCCCGAGGCUCAACCUCGGAACUGCCUUUGAUACUGGGGAUCUCGAGUCCGGGAGAGGUGAGUGGAACUGCGAGUGUAGAGGUGAAAUUCGUAGAUAUUCGCAAGAACACCAGUGGCGAAGGCGGCUCACUGGCCCGGAACUGACGCUGAGGUGCGAAAGCGUGGGGAGCAAACAGG